rnacentral:rRNA from 1 species
GGCGCACGGGUGCGUAACGCGUGGGAAUCUGCCCUUUGCUUCGGAAUAACAGUUAGAAAUGACUGCUAAUACCGGAUGAUGUCUUCGGACCAAAGAUUUAUCGGCAAAGGAUGAGCCCGCGUAGGAUUAGGUAGUUGGUGGGGUAAAGGCCUACCAAGCCGACGAUCCUUAGCUGGUCUGAGAGGAUGAUCAGCCACACUGGGACUGAGACACGGCCCAGACUCCUACGGGAGGCAGCAGUGGGGAAUAUUGGACAAUGGGCGCAAGCCUGAUCCAGCAAUGCCGCGUGAGUGAUGAAGGCCUUCGGGUCGUAAAGCUCUUUUACCAGGGAUGAUAAUGACAGUACCUGGAGAAUAAGCUCCGGCUAACUCCGUGCCAGCAGCCGCGGUAAUACGGAGGGAGCUAGCGUUGUUCGGAAUUACUGGGCGUAAAGCGCACGUAGGCGGUUACUCAAGUCAG